GAUUCACCGUCGUCAGAAACCCCGCCAGGCCCUUUCCUUCACAGCCAGCCACUAACCCAUGAUUCACCCCAGCCACGUCACCGCUUCCAUGCCACACCUCUGCCAUCGCAACAGGGGAACAAUCAGUUGCUGCGUGACAUGGGCAUCAGCACAGUCAUCGCUCUCCUUGGCCAGCUGAGGGAGGAAAACUGACUGCUUACUAUUUU